rnacentral:lncRNA from 1 species
ACUGGUUUCACCUUCCACCACAUCAGACACGACUUUCUGUCCUCUCUCCCUAACCCCCUGUCAUGUUAUCUCACAUACAGAAGGAUUUUUAUGGCCACGCCAUAACCAGGAGCAUCCCAGUCACCCAAGUCUCCAUUCCUCCCCUAAGCUCUCAUUUGCUUUUUCCUCCUUGCCCCCUCACAGUGGGCAAAACCACCUCCAGCACUCACUGAGGCAGUUUUCCCCCACACCUCAGAAUGUGCUGUCAUCACAAACUGUCCAGAAGAAACAAUCUGAGGAAGGAUGGUCAUGCAGUGAGCAGGCUCUUCUACUCCCCAGAGAGGAAAAAGGUGUUCGUGCUGCCCCUCUUCCUGCUUCCUCUUGUUCUGCACGUUGCACAUACUUCAAGACUGAGAAUAUGGUUUUCUACACAUCACAUAAUGAGACCUCCACAGUGAUCAGCUUUGCAGCUACAAGGGAAAGGAAGGACAAAGGCUUUGGCACUGAGCUGUUCUGUGGAAGCAGGGCUCCAGAAGCCAUACAAGUGAUGCCAGCGCCAGCAAGCUUCAUGGACACCCUGGUAUCAACCUGCCCCAGGACUCUGGAAGGGCUGAAGCAGUCUGGCAGGAAGCCAGCAAGGCCUGCAUCUCUGCAGAGCGUUUCAGCUGUCUUGCGAUGUUGCUGA